rnacentral:rRNA from 1 species
GACGAACGCUGGCGGCGCGCUUAACACAUGCAAGUCGAGCGAUGAAAUUUCGACAGAUCCCUUCGGGGUGAAGAUGAAAUGGAUUAGCGGCGGACGGGUGAGUAACACGUGAGUAACCUGCCUUUGACAUUGGGAUAGCCUCGGGAAACUGGGAUUAAUACCAAAUGACACUAACUGAUCACAUGAUCAAUUAGUCAAAGAAAUUCGGUCAAAGAUGGACUCGCGGCUGAUUAGCUAGUUGGUGAGGUAACGGCCCACCAAGGCGACGAUCAGUAGCCGGGCUGGGAGGGUGAUCGGCCACAUUGGAACUGCGACACGGUCCAAACUCCUACGGGAGGCAGCAGUGGGGAAUAUUGCACAAUGGGGGAAACCCUGAUGCAGCGACGCCGCGUGAGCGAAGAAGGCCUUCGGGUCGUAAAGCUCUUUUAUGAGGGAAGAUAAUGACGGUACCUCAAGAAAAAGCCCCGGCUAACUACGUG